CCUACGGGUGGCUGCAGUGGGGAAUAUUGGACAAUGGGCGAAAGCCUGUUCCAGCCAUGCCGCGUGUGUGAAGAAGGCCUUCGGGUUGUAAAGCACUUUCAGUGGGGAAGAAAGCCUUGGGGCUAAUACCCUCGAGGAAGGACAUCACCCACAGAAGAAGCACCGGCUAACUCCGUGCCAGCAGCCGCGGUAAUACGGAGGGUGCGAGCGUUAAUCGGAAUUACUGGGCGUAAAGCGCGCGUAGGCGGUCUGAUAAGCCGGUUGUGAAAGCCCCGGGCUCAACCUGGGAACGGCAUCCGGAACUGUCAGGCUAGAGUGCAGGAGAGGAAGGUAGAAUUCCCGGUGUAGCAGUGAAAUGCGUAGAGAUCGGGAGGAAUACCAGUGGCGAAGGCGGCCUUCUGGACUGACACUGACGCUGAGGUGCGAAAGCGUGGGUAGCAAACAGGAUUAGAUACCCUUGUAGUC
rnacentral:rRNA from 1 species